GAGGAUGAUCUGUAGUCUUCCCAACUCAUCGUAAGUUUCACUUUCCUCUAAAAUCUUCUAUGGAAAUUCACUUCAAUUUGUUCUUCUACAUCAGCUACUGAACCAUCUCUUUCUAAUUGUGUUCUGGGCUUCCCACUUGCCCAUCUGUUUUUUUUUAAACAUCCUGAAAGUCUUCUACACCAUCACACAAAUCUGCAGUAUUGUCUGGAAGAAUCACAUUUGCAGUGUGGAUUUCUCCACGUUCUCCUUCCUCAAAAGUCUCAUUGUCAUUUGUUUCAGGAAUUUGCUUUUCAAGAGUCCUAUUAUGCUCUUUUCCAUGACAAUUUUUUCAAAAGUUUCAAACUCACUUUCCGUCUCUCUAUUCGUUUCAUCAUUCAGAUUUGAUACAGAAAAAUGCAUGUUAUGAUCGUCAUCAUAAUGGGUACCUCUCUGAUGUUGGGUCACAGGCCUAUUCAUGGAGGGCGGUAGGUCUUGAGAUCCUAACCGUCUGCCCAAUAGGCAGUAAGUGAUCUCUGAAUGAUUCUUGUAUGACCCAUCCCACUCUCCGGCUUGACCAUAUAUACGGGCAAAUCUUGGUAUUUAUUCACCACCACAUACUGCAAUUGAUUCCAUCUACUCUGCAGUUUAUGCUUUCCACGAAGACCAAGAUUCUCCACCAACAUGCUGUCACCUUUUGUAAACGUCGGGUUUCUCACUACUUUUUAGUAAGCUUUUCUUAUGUGCACUUUAGUCUCUGUUUCUUCUGCAAGAUCAUAGGCUCAUUUCAAAUCUCUUUUCAGUCCUUCUACAUAUUCAGAAUGAAUUAAUCUCUCUUCCUCAAUCUCAAAACAAAAAUCCACCAGUAGCCUAGCCUCCCUAAACAAACAUGAGGUGAUAUAGUAAAAUUCCGGUGAAUGGCGUCACUCUUCGUACUAUUGUAUGCAUGUACAAGUUGACUCACACAACAACUCUACUGCUGUUUUUGUGUAGUGUUUACAGUUCCUAACAUCGACUGCAACGUUCUAUUGAAACAUUCUGGCUGAUAGAAUGUUGUUCAGGAUUUACAAAUCCUUAAACUUCAAGAGUUCUUGGAUCACUCUUCCUUCAAAAUCCUGACCCUGAUCUGAAUCGAUUCAGGCUAGUAAUUCUAAGCCAACACCUUGGCUACAGUGACUGCUUUUUGAUCAUUGGUAGGAUAUGCUUGUGCAUUUCUACUAAAGUGAUCUUUGACAACCAGCAUAUUACUGAACCCUGCUGUAUUGGUCUCCAGUGUCAGAAAGUUGAUUCACCAGUUCCAUAGGACCCCCAGAAGUUUUCUAUUGCAAUGGUGCUGUACAAGUACACGGGCAGCUUCCAUGAAACACAAUGGCCACAAUUUUUCACACAAUUUUCUACCUUCUGUGCCAUCCGCGGCCAGUAGACCCUGUCCCCUGAUCAGACUUGUGAUGCAUUCCAAUCCCAAAUGGCCAAAUCAUCAUGUAAAGCUUUAAUCACUUGUAACCAGAACUUGUCAGGUAACACUAACUGAAAUGUUUAAUACAUCCUUCACAACUGUGUGCAUAAUCCAUCCUUGAAUCUCAGCUUCUUACUCUCACAUUUCAUUAAUGUUACCUCUUGAGGAUACUGACUCAGAAUAGAUAGUUUUGCAUUCACAAACUUCUUUACCAUUCCUGUGACAUCAUCCAUGUCUUGGGCAUUCCUCAAAUCACCUCUAGUGAAUUGUUCCAACUGCCCCAUUCCAAGAUUAGCUGCAAAAGCGUAGAGCUUGGGAAUACCUUCUGCAGGCACUACUAACCUGUGAACUAGUCUCUCUGCAUUAGCUGAGUUUCCCAACUGGAUACAAUUGCAUAUUUCACCUCAACCUCUGAAAGAGUGUGUGAGUUAUUUCAAAGCCUUGAUAGUAGAUCCGCAUCAAUGUUUGUAUGACCAGGACGAUACUUUACCUCAAAAUCAUAAGUCGCCAAGGCUGCAAGCCAUCUAUGCCCAUUGGCAUUGAGCUUUCCAGUUGUCAACACAUAAGUGAGUGGAAUGUUAUCCCUCACAACAGUAAAUUUCACACCAUACAAACAGUCGUGAUAUUUCUCCACCACCCACCCACUUAAUAGAGAGAAAUUCAAGCUGAUGGAUAUGCUACUUCUGUUCAGCAGCACUGAGCGCUGAGGUAGCGAAUGCAACUGGAUGUAACCCCUCAGGUUACACCUUAUUCAACACAGACCCCAGCCCUUUCAAGCUGCAAGACCCUUGUGGGAUCAGAGAACGCUAAUACUGGUGCAUGAGUCAAACAGUCAGUGAUCUUAUGGAAGGCUUAAGUGCAGGAAUCAGUCCAUCUAGAACCAAAUGUUUCUGACUUGUCAUGAUAUGUCUGAUCAGAGAGAGACUUUUGUUUCUUUCCUUUCCUAACCGGAGGAUACCCCUUGGUAAGCUCAGUCAAAGGCUUAACUAUAGCAGAGUAGUUCACCACAAACAUCUCUGAGUACAUUUAUUCACAGUACAUUUUAAUCUAACUUUAUCAAGUUCUGAAUACAAACUUUAUUUAAAUCUGAAACCUGUAACAGAUUCCCACAUGGGCUACAAUUCAAAGUUCACCACAAUUAGUUUUCUACAAGCUGAGGUAUAUACAGUGUUAAUAUGAGGAAGGUGCACCGUGUCAUACACACAAAUACAAAAGACCAUCAUGGUGACACACAUGACUCUAAAAUAAUGCAAUAGGCAUUAUUUAAGCAACAUAAGAUGAUAGAUGAUAAUAUGACUUGUUCUCAAAAAGGGUAUUAAAACAAGUGAGCAAAUUUGGACACUCAAUGUGCCGUGUCAUUCAAGCGUGGCCCCUUUGUUCUCUUUUUGUUUGACCUGCAAAGUUGCCUCACACAUCACAAAUACAGAAAAAUGGCAGUCAGUGCAUCUGUUUCAAACUUGGGUGAAUUAGUAGUGUUUUCUGACACGUGCAUGUAUUUUGUGGUUCUAUGAACAAAUUAUUUCAGAAUCACACCGCUGAUGCACUGUAAUACUGUACAUAAACAACAUAUAUGAGAUGGAAAGGGUGUCUUUAACUCUUGUGAUGUGUUUUUUUUUUUGUUUUUUUUUUUUUUCUUCCAGUUCUGUUUAAAUUUGCCUUGAACAGAAGUAUGAAUUAUGUGGGGUUUGAAGGUGUCAUGAUUAUAAUCUUCUAUGUAGCGGCGCUUCUAUUCAAACUCAUCUAUAUUAUUUUCUUGUUGGCUAAAUUCAGUGGGAAGUUAAGUGAACGGAUAAUUUCUAUAUUUGAUAUUUUGGCUGGUAUAAGCUUUGAUACUCUACCUUCAAUACAAUUCAUCAUCCUGUUUUAUGCCUUUGGAUCUGCCAGAGGAGGAAACUUCAUUGUUGUAGUUUUACCAGUAUUUCUCAUAGUGACUAGAUACAAUUGGGAUGAAACAUGUGGUGAAAAGAUGGGCUGUUCACCUUCAGUCAGGAGAUCCAUGUGGAUAAUUCUCAUGUUAUUAGUCAAUGUUGUAAUGGUUUAUUUCUACAGCAUAACUCUGGAAAAUGAAAAAGAUCGUAAUGGAUGGGCCUGUACGAUUGCGUUUCUUCAGUUACUCUGGGCAGUUAUAAACUUCGCAUGGUCAUUUAAUUGUGAAUUGCACCGUGUUGUACCCGUGUAUCUGUUUGGAUCAGUUGGUGUUGUUUUACUGAACUCCAUUACACUGAUGACAGAACUGAUACUGAAAACAGUGAAUGGUUAUGGUGCAGUUGGAGAUCUGAGAGUCAUCGUCUUUUCCUCUGAAUUCAUCUUCACUUUAUUUCUGAUGAUUUUACUGGUAUUUGAGCCAUGUCUGCAGUCCCCCCAGAAUGCAGCCAAGUCUGAUGAAACUCAAGACAAUGGAUCACACCAGGAGCAGGACACAACAGAAACACAUGAAAUGAACUCUCUUGAUGAAGGACAAUCAGCUUGAUUCAAGGGAAUCACAAACCUAUGCAACAAUGAGAGAAAAAGCCUAUUUAUUCAAAAACACUGAGUGUUUGCUCAAAUUUCUGUGUGCAUUGACAGCAAUUUAAGAUCAUAUUCUUCAUUUUAAAUUAUGCUAUUCAAAAAAGUGUUGUUGCUUUUUAAACAAAAAUAUGCAGGGUGUAUUUAGCGUGUCAUAUGGUAGCACGUUUCUGUUUACAGCUGUCACUGAAUACUAAAUAGAGAGUGGAAACUCAUUUUACAAUGUGCCUCUUACAGGUUGUGCAAUAUAUCUCACAAGAAAAUGUCAUUAUGUUCAUCUCAUCUCACAAAAAGUUUUUGUUAUGUUCAUCUCAUCUCACUUGCACAAAGACAUUCAGUAUUCCUCAAAAUCAAUAGAAUUUUGUGCAAACCUGUAAUAAUUAACUAUUGAAUUACACAAAUAUACUUUAUGUAUUUAAUCUCACUUUAUUAACCAAUGUUUUUGCUGCUGACCUUGAAUGAUCUAAUUCAACCUGUUGUGUAAUAUGCAUAAGAAUUGAAUUACUGCCUUAUUGUUUGAAGUGUUUGGCUAAUAUAUUAAGAAUGUAUUAAAAAGAGCUUUGCUGGAUAAAGCAUG